rnacentral:rRNA from 2 species
CGCGGUAAUACAUAGGUUGCAAGCGUUAUCCGAAAUUAUUGGGCGUAAAGCGUCUGUAGGUUGUUUGUUAAGUCUGGCGUUAAAUUUUGGGGCUCAACCCCAAAACGCGUUGGAUACUGGCAGACUAGAGUUAUGUAGAGGUUAGCGGAAUUCCUUGUGAAGCGGUGAAAUGCGUAGAUAUAAGGAAGAACAUCAAUAUGGCGAAGGCAGCUAACUGGGCAUACACUGACACUGAGAGACGAAAGCGUGGGGAGCAAACAGGAUUAGAUACCCUGGUAGUCCACGCCCUAAACGAUGAUCAUUAGUUGAUGGGGAACUCAUCGACGCAGCUAACGCAUUAAAUGAUCCGCCUGAGUAGUACGUUCGCAAGAAUAAAACUUAAAGGAAUUGACGGGGAUCCGCACAAGCGGUGGAGCAUGUGGUUUAAUUUGAUGUUACGCGUAGAACCUUACCCACUCUUGACAUCUUCUGCAAAGCUAUAGAGACAUAGUGGAGGUUAACAGAAUGACAGAUGGUGCAUGGUUGUCGUCAGCUCGUGUCGUGAGAUGUUCGGUUAAGUCCUGCAACGAGCGCAACCCUUAUCCUUAGUUACUACCAUUUAGUUGAGCACUCUAAGGAGACUGCCCGAGUAAUCGGGAGGAAGGUGGGGACGAAGUCAAAUCAUCAUGCCUCUUACGAGUGGGGCUACACACGUGCUACAAUGGACGGUACAAAGAGAAGCGAAGUGGUGACAUGGAGCAAACCUCAAAAAACCGUUCUCAGUUCGGAUUGAGGUCUGCAACUCGACUUCAUGAAGUCGGAAUCGCUAGUAAUCGUAGAUCAGCUACGCUACGGUGAAUACGUUCUCGGGUCUUGUACACACCGCCCGU